AUACGUAGGGUGCGAGCGUUGUCCGGAAUUACUGGGCGUAAAGAGCUCGUAGGUGGUUUGUCGCGUCGUCUGUGAAAUUCCGGGGCUUAACUCCGGGCGUGCAGGCGAUACGGGCAUAACUUGAGUACUGUAGGGGAGACUGGAAUUCCUGGUGUAGCGGUGAAAUGCGCAGAUAUCAGGAGGAACACCGGUGGCGAAGGCGGGGCUCUGGGCAUUAACUGACGCUGAGGAGCGAAAGCAUGGGUAGCGAACAGGAUUAGAUACCCUGGUAGUCCAUGCCGUAAGCGGUGGGCGCUAGGUGUAGGGGUCUUCCACGACUUCUGUGCCGUAGCUAACGCAUUAAGCGCCCCGCCUGGGGAGUACGGCCGCAAGGCUAAAACUCAAAGGAAUUGACGGGG
rnacentral:rRNA from 1 species